rnacentral:lncRNA from 1 species
GAAGAGGCUAUAAUUCAAACAAAUCUCUGCCAUAAUAGCUAUGGGAAUACUAAACAUUACUGGCCAAGUAAAUUGCUUUCUGUAUAAGCGUUCUCUUUUUUUUUUUUGAAGUUUGCCCCAGUGUGAAAGUCUCUCUAAGAUUGGUAACUAAUGGGUAAUACACAACAUUCCAAGAUAGAUUCUGGUAUCUUGAGCCAACAUAUCAGGAGAAUGGUACAGAAAAACUGAACAUUACCAGCCCCUCUACCUUAGCUAACUGCAAAAUGAACAACUUCCAAGGACUUGCUGCUACUCUCCCACAAAAUGAAAAGUCUAUGUAUCAAGAUGUAGAAUAGUACAGCUAAGCACAAGGCUCCUCCCCAGUCAAAGAGGAGCAGAGAGUGAAGAUCACUAUCAGUAAAAGCGCUGGCCUAGAGUUCCAUCACUAAACUGAUAUGUAACCCAAGGCAGGUCUUCUUUCUUUGAGUUUCAGUCUCAUCAUCUUUGAAGUGAGAAUAACAGAGCAUAAAAGUCAAACUUGAACCAA